rnacentral:misc_RNA from 1 species
UUUACCAAGGCUGCACUAACAAUGGUAUGUUGCUGUUGCUAUAAUACCAUUCUUAUUGCUAGAAGUGCUUGGUGGAAAUCAUAAUCAACUUUUCUCUGGGCUUUUUUUAUUAUUUUUUUUUCUGUUUUUUUUACUUUUGAAAGAAAUUAUGCAUCAUGAGUUAUGGAUUUUUUUACUGUCAUCUGGUUUUUAGCAAGAAAACAUUGGAACUUUGGA